GACGAACCGUGCGAACGUUAUUCGGAAUCACUGGGCUUAAAGCGCGUGUAGGCGGGACGGCACGUCGGUCGCUGAAAUCCCCCGGCUCAACCGGGGAACGGGCGCCGAUACGACCGCCCUGGAGGGACGUAGGGGGACCUGGAACUUCCGGUGGAGCGGUGAAAUGCGUUGAGAUCGGAAGGAACGCCCGUGGCGAAAGCGAGGUCCUGGACGUUUUUUCUGACGCUGAGACGCGAAAGCCAGGGGAGCGAACGGG
rnacentral:rRNA from 1 species